rnacentral:rRNA from 1 species
AAGACCUUGCGCUUUUGGAGCGGCCGAUGUCUGAUUAGCUUGUUGGUGAGGUAAAAGCUUACCAAGGCUUCGAUCAGUAGCUGGUCUGAGAGGACGGCCAGCCACACUGGGACUGAGACACGGCCCAGACUCCUACGGGAGGCAGCAGUGGGGAAUUUUGGACAAUGGGGGCAACCCUGAUCCAGCCAUGCCGCGUGAGUGAAGAAGGCCUUCGGGUUGUAAAGCUCUUUCAGCCGGGAAGAAAAGGCUACGACGAAUAAUCGUAGCUCAUGACGGUACCGGAAGAAGAAGCACCGGCUAACUACGUGCCAGCAGCCGCGGUAAUACGUAGGGUGCGAGCGUUAAUCGGAAUUACUGGGCGUAAAGGGUGCGCAGGCGGUUUUGUAAGUCAGAUGUGAAAUCCCCGGGCUUAACCUGGGAACU